AUUGAACGCUGGCGGCAGGCCUAACACAUGCAAGUCGAGCGGAUGAAGGGGGCUUGCUCCUGGAUUCAGCGGCGGACGGGUGAGUAAUGCCUAGGAAUCUGCCUGGUAGUGGGGGAUAACGUCCGGAAACGGGCGCUAAUACCGCAUCCGUCCUGAGGGGGAAAGUGGGGGAUCUUCGGACCUCACGCUACCAGAUAAGCCUAGGUCGGAUUAGCUAGUUGGUGGGGUAAAGGCCUACCAAGGCGACGAUCCGUAACUGGUCUGAGAGGAUGAUCAGUCACACUGGAACUGAGACACGGUCCAGACUCCUACGGGAGGCAGCAGUGGGGAAUAUUGGACAAUGGGCGAAAGCCUGAUCCAGCCAUGCCGCGUGUGUGAAGAAGGUCUUCGGAUUGUAAAGCACUUUAAGUUGGGAGGAAGGGCAGUAAGUUAAUACCUUGCUGUUUUGACGUUACCAACAGAAUAAGCACCGGCUAACUUCGUG
rnacentral:rRNA from 1 species